AUGACCGCCGAGAGAUUCUUCAAGA
rnacentral:snRNA from 1 species